GGGUUACAUAUUUCCUGAGAGUAUCUACAUAUUCAUAGGCAACAUCGAUGUGAAUGUGACAGAUUAGCUCCAGAAAGAAAGCAAUGUGAAAAAGAUGAAACACAGAUUUGAAAGCAAUCUUGAAGACCAGACAGAAAACCAGGCUAUGAAUCAAAGAAAAAAAUCAAAAUCACACUUCAUAACUGCUUCAGUAACCCUUGGCAACAGACAACACACUGGAUUUUGGCUAAUAACACUAAAAUUUUUGCUGGUGAGGUCUUCAGAAACCGGAUAGAUGUGAAACCACCAGAACAGAAGUGGAGUGGGCACGAUAUCUGUUUCUUCAAUUUGUAGUUUCAUAGUCAAAAACUGGCAUGUAUAUACUUAAUCGGUGACAUGUAAGUCACAUGCCUUUAUCCCAAAUCUAAGAGAAGUUGAGAACUUAAUUUCUGGCUUCUACCUUGGGAAGGGUCAGACUCAUAAGCUGGAAAAUUAGCCAACAUACACAGGAUAUUCAAAGCUUCCAGGCAGACAAAAUACUGUCAAGUGGUAAAACAGAUAUGAAAAAACCUUUUUUUCUCUCCUAAAUUUAAAAAAAUGUAAUUUUCCUAAAACAUUGUAUGUGGCUUUCCAUAAAAUUAAAAGAGUCUUGGGAGAGAGAACAUCUCA
rnacentral:lncRNA from 10 species